rnacentral:snoRNA from 1 species
UCCGAUGAUGAGUGUCAUCCCAGCCGAGCCUCAAAGAGCCAUGACGACGUUUUAUCCCCACCUGAGG